AUGGCACCAGCAAUACACAGUUUAUGUGCACAAAGCUCCUGGGAUGCACACGGGGGAUUAAAGCACAGGGAACCAGAUCCUAAACCACCAGAAGAAAAUGUUCAAUUCACGCCUUUCGUCUUUUCUAACAACUGCACUUCUGCGUACUUGAGCCACUCUCCGAAUAUCACUGGUUACAAGUAUUUGACACGAGGCGAUGCCAGGAAGCACUUUUGCUGGGUUUUGUUUUUCUGUGGAUGCAGAGCGCUGCCUAAAAAAAUCCCCAGCGAGAAAUACUUGACUGUCGUGGCCGCGCGGCCUGGAUUUUUCUUCCAGCACCAUGAGAUUUCAGACGGGUGUGCUUCUUGGUGUGCUAUGCCUGGCCAGAGACGGAACAGAGGCCACAAGCAGAGUUGCCA
rnacentral:lncRNA from 1 species